AAGCUCGUAGUUGAAUUUCGGGGUUAAUAAGUUGGUCGUGCCAAUGGUAUGCACUGGCUUUAUUGAUUCCUACCUCUUGAAGAACUGUGAUGCCAUUAAUUUGGUGUUGCAGGGAAUCAGGACUGUUACCUUGAAAAAAUUAGAGUGUUUAAAGCAGGCUUACGCUUGAAUACAUUAGCAUGGAAUAAUGAAAUAGGACAUCGCAUUCUAUUUUGUUGGUUUCUAGGAUCGAUGUAAUGAUUAAUAGGGAUAGUUGGG
rnacentral:rRNA from 1 species